GACGAACGCUGGCGGCGUGCUUAACACAUGCAAGUCGAACGGAAAGGCCCUGCUUUUGUGGGGUGCUCGAGUGGCGAACGGGUGAGUAACACGUGAGUAACCUGCCCUUGACUUUGGGAUAACUUCAGGAAACUGGGGCUAAUACCGGAUAGGAGCUCCUGCUGCAUGGUGGGGGGUGGAAAGUUUCGGCGGUUGGGGAUGGACUCGCGGCUUAUCAGCUUGUUGGUGGGGUAGUGGCUUACCAAGGCUUUGACGGGUAGCCGGCCUGAGAGGGUGGCCGGCCACAUUGGGACUGAGAUACGGCCCAGACUCCUACGGGAGGCAGCAGUGGGGAAUAUUGCACAAUGGGCGGAAGCCUGAUGCAGCAACGCCGCGUGCGGGAUGACGGCCUUCGGGUUGUAAACCGCUUUCGCCUGUGACGAAGCGUGAGUGACGGUAAUGGGUAAAGAAGCACCGGCUAACUACGUG
rnacentral:rRNA from 1 species